GGUGUAUGAGGUGUUAGUAUGUGUUGAGCUGGUGGUACAGUGAGUGGAUCAAAUACAGCAGUGAUUAGCAGUGAUUAGCAUGGUGGUGGUGUAUGAGGUGUUAGUGUGUGUUGAGCUGGUGGUACAGUGAGUGGAUCAGAUACCGCAGUGAUUAGCAUUGAUUAGCAUGGUGGUGGUGUAUGAGGUGUUAGUGUGUGUUGAGCUGGUGGUACAGUGAGUGGAUCAGAUACAGCAGAGAUUAGCAGUGAUUAGCAUGGUGGUGGUGUAUGAGGUGUUAGUGUGUGUUGAGCUGGUACAGUGAGUGAAUCAGAUACAGCAGUGAUUAGCAGUGAUUAGCAUGGUGGUGGUGUAUGAGGUGUUAGUGAGUGUUGAGCUGGUGGUACAGUGAGUGGAUCAGAUACAGCAGAGAUUAGCAGUGAUUAGCAUGGUGGUGGUGUAUGAGGUGUUAGUGUGUGUUGAGCUGGUGGUACAGUGAGUGGAUCAGAUACAGCAGUGAUUAGCAGUGAUUAGCAUGGUGGUGGUGUAUGAGGUGUUGGUGUGUGUUGAGCUGGUGGUACAGUGAGUGAAUCAGAUACAGCAGUGAUUAGCAGUGAUUAGCAUGGUGGUGGUGUAUGAGGUGUUAGUGAGUGUUGAGCUGGUGGUACAGUGAGUGGAUCAGAUGCAGCAGUGAUUAGCAGUGAUUAGCAUGGUGGUGGUGUAUGAGGUGUUAGUGUGUGUUGAGCUGGUGGUACAGUGAGUGGAUCAGAUGCAGCAGUGAUUAGCAGUGAUUAGCAUGGUGGUGGUGUAUGAGGUGUUAGUGAGUGUUGAGCUGGUGGUACAGGGAAUAGAUCAGAUACAGAAGGUCUGCUGGAGUUUUUAAACACUGUCUUUACUCUCUAACUGUCCUCCGCUCUAUUACACACUCUUACCUACAGUAGCUGCUCCACCUUGUACACUGUAGGUCUGGAUACGUUAAAUUUACCUAAAUUAUUUGAGGAAACAGAAAAAAAAUAGAUAAAGACGUUACAGCCUACAACUAAAAGUUACCUACGGUAGCCCUGUGGGGAUUGACUACACACUGACGGUGAGUGUCAGAAACUGGCAAAUAGACUAUGCAAAUAGAUUGUGCCAUAAGCCAAUGGAAAAGAAGAUGCCAAUGACCACAGACUAAAUUAUUUUUUUAUAUGUAAGUUGAUUUAUCUCCAAGAUCUCCAUUUGAAUAUAUACAGCUCUGGAAAAAAAUAAGAGACCACUUAAUGAUGAAUGUCUUCCUUGCUUUUAUCAAAUUAAAAACCUCUGAAAUAUAAUCAAGAGGAAGAUGGAUGAUCACAAACCAUCAAACCAAACUGAACUGCUUGAAUUUUUUUUUUGCACCAGGAGUAAAGGCAUAAUGUUAUCCAAAAGCAGUGUGUAAGACUGGUGGAGGAGAACAUGCAAAGAUGCAUUAAAAAUGUGAUUAAAAAACAGGGUUAUUCCACCAAAUAUUGAUUUCUGAACUCUUAAAAUUUAUGAAUAUGACCUUGUAUUUUUGCAUUAUUUGAGGUCUGAAAGCUCUGCAUUUUGUUUUUUCAGCCAUUUCUCAUUUUCUGCAAAUAAAUGCUUUAAAUGACAAUUUUUUUGGAAUAUUUGGAAUUUGGGAGAAAUGUUGUCUGUAGUUUAUAAAACUAAAGUAUUGAAGAACAGGGUAAAAGGAGGAGUGCCCCUCAAAUUACCCGGAUAAAAUAUCCUGCCUCUCGGCGAGGGAAGCCAACACUUCAGAGAUGAGCGUGUCCGGGCCGCUCGCCCGAGUGCGCAUCCGUCUGAGGGAUUGGGCUGCUGUGGGGAAGACUGACCCCAGUGGAACUAAUCCCUCAUUAGAUUACAUCUCUCACAGAUGCUCUGCCAGUGGAACUUGCUUAAGCUUGUGAUCCGCAGCCUCCAGCAAACACUAUUUAUACACGACUGUACCGCUGCGGUUAUUUCCGUAUUAUCAAACUCCAGUUAUUUGGGGGUAUUUUUUUUUUUUACAGCUCUGUCUGAUGCAGAGACAAACGGAUGAAUGAAUCGCGGCCUGCGCUAUAAUUACUCAAAAGCUAAAACAUGCACAGCGAAUUAGGGAGAUUGCAGUUUUUAGGGAGCACAAACAGGAGCUUUUAUGCUCUAUUAACAUGUACGAAUAAAGCUAUCUGAAUUAUUUAUUAUAUUCUGACUGCGUAAAUAACAGUGCUGUGAUCUCUACUACAAAUCCCUCAUGUAAAACCCUCGCUUCUACUGAGGAACGCUUGAGGAAACAUGUUUAUAUAUGGCAUUCAUUCAGAAAAGGCAAUAUGAAAUAUAAACAGCUCUGGACAAAAAAUAAGAGAAUACUUUAAAAUGCUGAGUUUUUUUUUGUUUACCAAAUUGUAAACCUCUGGAAUAUAAUCAAGGGGAAGAUGGAUGAUCACAAACCAUCAACUCUAACUGAACUGCUUGAAUUUUUGCACCAGGAGUGAAGGCAUACAUUUUUCCAAAAGCAGUGUGUAAGACUGGUGGAGGAGAUGCAUGAAAGAUGCCAAGAUGCAUGAAAACUGGUAUUAAAAAACAGGGUUAUUCCACCAAAUAUUGAUUUCUGAACUCUUAAAACUUUAUAAAUAUGAACUUGUUUUCUUUGCAUUAUUUGAGGUCUGUAUCGUUUUCGUAUUUCUGCAAAUAAAUGCUCUGAAUGACAAUAUUUUUAUUUGGAAUUUGGGAGAAAUGUUGUCUGGAGUUUAUAGAAUAAAACAACAAUGUUCAUUUUACUCAAACAUAAACCUAUAAAUAGCAAAAUCAGAGAAACUGAUUCAGAAACUGAAGUGCUCUGUUAUUUUUUUCCAGAGCUUUAGAAUAUAUCCAACUCAAAGAACCACUUGGAUGCUAAAGUGGUUGUCUGCAUGAGUAAUACUGUAACAGUAUACUGUAU